GGCCCUUCCAAGCCAAGCCAUUCUAUGAUUCUGUGGUUCUAUGGUUCUGUGAAUGACAUUCACCAAAAACAAACCGAGUUUUUGCACAAGGGUGACCUGAGGGUGGCAGCAGCUGCUCACAGUAGCGUUGGAUCGUGCAGUGCACGGUCACAAGGAUUUAGGGAGACUGCAGAGCCUGUGGUGAGAGAGCAGGAAGCAGUGGAUUGCAGGAGGCUGGAGUGGUGUUGAAUAUUUGUGUUGCUGGAAGUAUAUGUGAGAGGAGAUGUAGAAAAUGUGGCAUCAUGGUUACUGGCAAGAUGUGCAGUGCCGAGGAGGAAAAUCUGAUGAGGAAUCCCCAGCAUCGUAAAUGGAUAAUGUGGUGUUGACUGGAGUGAGAAGCAGCAGCAUUUCCCAGGUAAACCAAUUACCUUGAUUGCGGAAUCACAGAAUUGCAAGGGUUGGAAGGGACCUCUGGAGAUCAUCCAGUCCAACUCCCCGCUACAGCAACUCCCUACGGUAGGUCACAAAGAUGACUUCUGAUACGUGCCAGUGUGUGAGGAGAAGGAAGCAUUUCCUGAGAACAGAUAUGUG
ensembl:lncRNA